rnacentral:rRNA from 1 species
GAUGAACGCUGGCGGCGUGCCUAAUACAUGCAAGUCGAGCGAAGCGGGGACGGGUGAGUAACACGUGGAUAACCUCCUAUAAGACUGGGAUAACUUAGGGAAACAGGAGCUAAACCGGAUACUUAGAGAUGGAUCAGCGGUGCAUUAGCUAGUUGGGAAGGUAACGGCUUACCAAGGCAACGAUGCAUCGCCGACCUUCGAGUGUGAUCGGCCACACUGGAACUGAGACACGGUCCAGACUCCUACGGGAGGCAGCAGUAGGGAAUCUUCCGCAAUGGGCGAAAGCCUGACGGAGCAACGCCGCGUGAGUGAUGAAGGUCUUCGGAUCGUAAAACUCUGUUAUUAGGGAAGCGGUACCUAAUCAGAAAGCCACGGCUAACUACGUGCCAGCAGCCGCGGUAAUAC